CCCCCCUAUCCUCUUCACCUUCACUCUGCCGACCAGUUCACGGCGCUUCUGCCGGCGUCUUCCUCCAUGGGGUGUUCGGCCACGCAGGAAGAGGCACAGUUGCAGGGAUCCGAGUUGUUCACAGCGCCGGACGCUGCUGCGCCAUCACGCCUCGGCGUUGACACGAGGUGCUAGGUAUGUACAUAAGUUGUUUGUGUAAAUGCCAAAGUGCAAAGACUGCUCCGUCAAGAAUUCUCACAGCUCAGCUUGGAUUCGUAGGGAAGAAGCAGACUAACAAAGGAAAAGUUCAGAGGAACUUGAUUAUACCGAGGAAUCCAAUGGCUGCAUGUCUGAUCUGCGGACUUUUAGAUUCUUCGUUAUUGGAUUAAAUUGUCAGUAUGAUUUUUCUGUGCUCUUUUACUUUUGUCCGAUUAUUUUGUGGAAAGACCUAAGAUUUUCUUUACGACAGCAUGGUGGUUCAGAGGUGUGUCGUUUCUUUUGACGCAUUUUGAAUACCACUCUUUGAUCUAUCUCAUGUAUCUGAACUCAUUUUUGUGUUCUCCUUUUCUCUUAUCAAGUUCUAAUUCAGUAGCUUGCUUGCAAUCCAUGUGCUCAUUGCCACUAUUCUUUCUGUUUAUAUUUUGUCUCAUGCCUUUUCUCCUUAUCUAUCUGUUUCAGACAUUGUACUAUGCACCAUGGUUCAUGACUGCACUUUCUAUACAUGCUUUGAAAGGCUAACAGUAUUGACAUAUCAUGUGCGUGUGUUAAUUGAUGAUCCCCUUCUUCCUACAGUUGUUUUGGAAGGAGGACUAUUACCAUUCAUGUGGGGUGAACGGCCCGAGUGACAAUGUCGGUGUGGCUGUUGCGGCUGCUCCUCAAAGCAGAG